rnacentral:rRNA from 1 species
GUGUCAGCAGCCGCGGUAAUACGUAGGAGGCGAGCGUUGUCCGGAUUUACUGGGCGUAAAGCGCGCGCAGGCGGCAUGGCAAGUAAGGUGUGAAAUCUCCCUGCCUAACGGGGAGGGUGCACUUUAGACUGCCAAGCUAGAGGACGGUAGAGGGGGGUAGAAUUGCUGGUGUAGCGGUGAAAUGCGUAGAGAUCAGCAGGAAUACCCGUGGCGAAGGCGGCCCCCUGGGCCGAACCUGACGCUGAGGCGCGAAGGCUAGGGGAGCGAACGGGAUUAGAUACCCCGGUAGUCCUAGCAGUAAACGAUGACCACUAGGUGUGGGGGGUGUUGACCCCUUCCGUGCCGAAGCCAACGCAUUAAGUGGUCCGCCUGGGGAGUACGGUCGCAAGACUAAA